rnacentral:rRNA from 1 species
CACGUAGGAGGCGAGCGUUGUCCGGAAUCAUUGGGCGUAAAGAGCGCGCAGGCGGCUUGGCAAGUCGGGUGUGAAAUCCCGGGGCUCAACCCCGUGACUGCAUUCGAUACUGUCAGGCUAGAGGUAGGUAGGGGAGAUCGGAAUUCCUGGUGUAGCGGUGAAAUGCGCAGAUAUCAGGAGGAACACCGGUGGCGAAGGCGGUUCUCUGGGCAUUACCUGACGCUGAGGAGCGAAAGUGUGGGGAGCGAACAGG